rnacentral:lncRNA from 1 species
GGCAAUUUUCGAAAAUAUUGCCAGAGAGAUUGAAAUAAUUCACCACUGCCCCUCCUCCAGCUUCUCCUGGGCAUGCCACAUACACUGUGGGAAGGGGAAAGGCUGACCUAGAACACCUUCAAGUGGAUGCUACAGAACCCACCAGGGCAGAGCCUCAGCUCUCAGCCUCCCGGAAUGAACCAUGAACCCAAAGCAAAGAGCAGAACUCCUUUGACACCUCCAGCUUCACAGACAAAGAUGAAUCUCCUAAGGCAUUUCUGAAACAUGCAGUUCUGAAGUCUGGCCAGCCACACCAAAGAGCUUUUCGCAAGAAGGCACAGGCCAGGUAGAGGCAGCUGUG